rnacentral:misc_RNA from 1 species
AAUUGCGACACCAGGCUCUGCCUGCUGUCACGCCUGGCCGAGAGUCGGCAUUAAAUCUAUCACGACGCUUAAUUAGUCGUGGCUUGGUUUGUUGUCAGCCGUCGUGUUGCCUUUUCAACGUAUUGCCUAGUUGUUAAGUCGACGGAGUUUGUGACGCUUACCGAAUCUAAUGGAGAGUGCUUGCCUUGGCUUAGCCGGCUGCCUUUAGCGGCUGCUAUGCUGUCGCGCAUCUGUUCUUUGAUUGCUUCUAAUAAUCAGAUGUGGACGGCUGGUCUGUCGCUAGAUGAGCGUGUUUUCCGGUUGUCAAUCGCUAUGACGUGGGAAUUUCGAUAAGCAUUUAUGAAUUAUAUUUACAAUUGCCAUUAUCAUAAAUGUGGUUCUCCUGAGCCUGUUGGCCUCGGGUUGUGCGGUGACCAAUGUUGCUUUACGUGCGUGCAUGACUGGUCGCAGCCUAUCGUGAUCGCGACCAUUUGUUAUGCUUUUCUUGUGCACAUGAGUUUGGUUACUGCUCCUUGCGCAUGAGCGCAAGGCCAAUCCGACGUGAGACCGUUUGCCCAUGUCAGGUGCAGCUUGCACUACUUCUCUGGUCUGUAGUUGCAUAUUGGUGUCACAAGUAUUCCGGAGGAAUGUUGUGUGUUCACCUGGCCUCGGAUUAGGCGUGAUGACC